rnacentral:rRNA from 1 species
UACGUAGGGGGCGAGCGUUGUCCGGAAUUACUGGGCGUAAAGCGUGCGCAGGCGGUUUGCUAAGACAGGUGUGAAAUCCCCGGGCUUAACCUGGGAACUGCGCUUGUAACUGGCAAGCUGGAGUGUGGCAGAGGGGGGUGGAAUUCCACGUGUAGCAGUGAAAUGCGUAGAGAUGUGGAGGAACACCGAUGGCGAAGGCAGCCCCCUGGGCUAACACUGACGCUCAUGCACGAAAGCGUGGGGAGCAAACAGG